GACGAACCGUGCGAACGUUGUUCGGAAUCAUUGGGCUUAAAGGGCGCGUAGGCGGGUGGACAAGUCAGGGGUGAAAGCCCACGGCUCAACCGUGGAAGUGCCUUUGAUACUGUCCGUCUGGAGGGAGGUAGGGGCGUGGCGGAACUUCCGGUGGAGCGGUGAAAUGCGUAGAUAUCAGGAGGAACACCGAUGGCGAAGGCAGGUC
rnacentral:rRNA from 1 species